UACAGCUGGGAAGGAAGGAAAUGAAAAUUUAAAUUUGUGGACCUUACUUUGUCAGGUCUAAUCUUGCGUGCCCUUCACGCACAGAAAAAGUUUUCGAAAGUAACAGAGUUCGAGGUGCAGGUAGUUGCCAAGGAAUGGCUGAGGCAUGCUGGUGAAGGUGUAAAAGAGCCAAAAGCAUUGAGUCUGCAGUUGCGUAAACUACCUAAGGAGGCUACUGCGUGGGCUGCCCCAGGAAUCUAGUGCAUGAACUUCCCCAGGAACAAACUGUUAGCUACACCACAGAGGCGGGGUGCCCUACUGUUCUGAGACAAGGUGGAGAAAAUCACCAAAGAAUAAGUGGAUGUGUGGCGCCCUAAGAACAGUGGACAAGCAGAGGUCUUAAAAAAAACAGCUGAAUGUUGUUUUCAGCGGUUCAGUACAUUCAGUGGUAUCUUUCUUGUUUUGGCCAGUUACAUAUGGCUAAUUGGUACUCAUUGUGUGUUUUGAAUGAUAUUGGUCUGAAUGCCUUGUCAAUUGAAAAGUUGCAGCUCACUUACAGACACCACUAAGGUGACUCCAAUUCCGCCAACUUGUCUGUAUCUGAUUUUUUUUUUCAAAAAGCUUUUGAAUGAACACUGAUUAGAAGUGUGUAACUCUCACCUUAUAAUUUACAACUGCAAAAUAAUUCUGUUGCGUGAAAAAAGCAAUAUGUGCCACAUAACUGCCAAUGCAUGAUCUGCUUGUGGACUUUUACUGCAGUGUUUAUUCUAGCAAAGGAUACCUUUGAAUGUGUUAAUAAGAUGG